UACAACCAUAUCGCAUUGAAACACCAGUUCCUGUAUGAUCACUAUUGUUAAGCAACAUUGAACUUGGUUAGUACCUAGAUGGGUGAUUGCUUGGGAAUACCAGGUUCUGUAAG